rnacentral:rRNA from 1 species
ACAAGCGGUGGAUUAUGUGGAUUAUUUCGAUGCAACGCGAAAAACCUUACCUGGCCUUGACAUGUACCGAAUUUAGCAGAGAUGCUUUAGUGCUCGAAAGAGAACGGUAACACAGGUGCUGCAUGGCUGUCGUCAGCUCGUGUCGUGAGAUGUUGGGUUAAGUCCAGCAACGAGCGCAACCCUUGCCAUUAAUUGCCAUCAUUUAGUUGGGCACUUUAAUGGGACUGCCGGUGACAAACCGGAGGAAGGUGGGGAUGACGUCAAGUCCUCAUGGCCCUUAUGGCCAGGGCUUCACACGUAAUACUAUGGUCGGUACAGAGGGUUGCCAACCCGCGAGGGGGAGCCAAUCCCAGAAAGCCGAUCGUAGUCCGGAUUGUAGUCUGCAACUCGACUGCAUGAAGUCGGAAUCGCUAGUAAUCGCGGAUCAGCAUGUCGCGGUGAAUACGUUCCCGGGCCUUGUACACACCGCCCGUAACACCAUGGGAGUGGGUUUCACCAGAAAUAGUUAGUCUAACCGCAAGGAGGACGAU